CCCUUAGAUGUUCUGGGCCGCACGCGUGCUACACUGAGUGGAUCAGCGAGUCAGGUUGCGCGAAAGCGUUUCCUAAUCUUUAAAUCCGCUCGUGAUGGGGAUUGACGGUUGCAAUUUUCUGUCAUGAACGAGGAAUACCUUGUAAGCGCGGGUCAUCAUCCCGCGCUGAAUACGUCCCUGCCCUUUGUACACACCGCCCGUCGCACCUACCGAUUGGAUGGUCCGGUGAAGCCUCGGGAUUGUGGUUCUUGCCGCUUUAUUGUGGCGUGACCGCGAGAACUUGUCUAAACCUUAUCAUCUAGAGGAAGGUGAAGUCGUAACA
rnacentral:rRNA from 1 species